AAGGAGAGUAUCAGCAAUGUACAGGUCCUACUGGAGUACCAUAUUGCUUAUCUAAACGAGGUGGAACAGCUGCGACUGGAGCGGCUGCAGAUUGACGAGCAGCUGCGUCAGAUCGGGAUGGGCUACAGGCCCGUCCCAAACCGACCCGCCGA